rnacentral:sRNA from 1 species
UCGCGUCAUGCGCCGCAGGCAGGAGCGGGGGACCCAAGGUAAGUGCCGGGCCCAGCAGUUGAGGCUGGAUCCGGCUAGGGGUGAAGCCGUACCUCUCCAGGAGGUGCGGCCGGGCAACUCAACCGGCCCGAACCCGACAGCUCACCUCGCAGGCGUCGGUGAGGGGAUCG